UAGGGAAUUUUCGUCAAUGGGCGCAAGCCUGAACGAGCAAUGCCGCGUGAGUGAGGAAGGUCUUCGGACUGUAAAGCUCUGUUGCCGGGGGAAAAAAGGGGAAAUGCAGGAAAUGGCAUUUCAUGGAUGGUACCCGGCCAGAAAGCCACGGCUAACUACGUGCC
rnacentral:rRNA from 1 species